rnacentral:pre_miRNA from 1 species
CUGGUGCUCUCACAUGUAACAGCAACUCCAUGUGGACUACUCUGACUUCCAGUGGAGAUGCUGUUACUUUUGAUAGCCACUUC